CACUGACACAGCCCAAACUUGGGGGAAUAACGGAUAUGAAGCACAAGCUCUACUAUCUGCCCGGGGUUGACGCCAGCAGACCCAUUGUUCAAUUGAACUCUGAAAUUUCUCACAGGUGCAAGGUACGCAUUAUAAAACAGCAUUGGGUUUCACCAUGUGUCAAAUAUGUGCUCUCCACACGGACCGGAGGAAACUCAAAACGCUGACGCUGAACACCGCCAGACCCGCAUAGGUGGACACUAUUUCAGAACUAUCGCUGUAUGACUCCGUCCAGCUCCCGCUGAAGAUUCUCGUGGAUAACGAAAUCCCCAGCAUGGCACAAUGCUUGUGUCCCAUGGUGGUAACUAGCCUGAAACGCAACUACAGUAACUACACAAUGCCUGUUCAUGGAUAGGCCUAGUAACAUGACAGCUUGCUUUACCACAUUUGAACAGGCAUAAAUGUAUAUUACAUAAGCCUGUUGCCCCAACGUGCCUUGCCACUUUAGACAUGCUAAAUCAGCUUAUACUACAUUUAACUAUAUAUGUUUACUCUCAUUCACCCCUCUAGUGAAAACCACAGCUAGCGCACUAUUUAAGCAUCUCCAAACACCAGCUACACCCUACCUGUAUUAAGCUUGAUAAAUCUACAUGUUUUCAAACUAAAGAUAAAAGACAAAAAUUAAAAAUGAGGCAUCGAUAUCCUGGAAAUGUAAAUUAAUCUUGCAGAAUGAUGUAUCAACCCUGUACUGUAAAUCGCUCGUACAUUUCCCCUGCUUUCUCUUAUGUACCCCAUCUUAUAUACCUUUAAUAAAAG